rnacentral:rRNA from 1 species
CCUACGGGUGGGCAGCAGUGGGGAAUAUUGGACAAUGGGGGCAACCCUGAUCCAGCCAUGCCGCGUGUGAAGAAGGCCCUCGGGUUGUAAAGCACUUUCAGUGAGGAAGAACGCCUGGUGGUUAAUACCCAUCAGGAAAGACAUCACUCACAGAAGAAGCACCGGCUAACUCCGUGCCAGCAGCCGCGGUAAUACGGAGGGUGCGAGCGUUAAUCGGAAUUACUGGGCGUAAAGCGCGCGUAGGUGGCUUGAUAAGCCGGUUGUGAAAGCCCCGGGCUCAACCUGGGAACGGCAUCCGGAACUGUCAAGCUAGAGUGCAGGAGAGGAAGGUAGAAUUCCCGGUGUAGCGGUGAAAUGCGUAGAGAUCGGGAGGAAUACCAGUGGCGAAGGCGGCCUUCUGGACUGACACUGACACUGAGGUGCGAAAGCGUGGGUAGCAAACAGGAUUAGAUACCCGAGUAGUC